ACUGUGGACUGUUUAUCUUUCAAGACCGAUUUUCCCAUAAUGACAGACCUGAGAUAGACUGACGGUCGAGACAGAGAGAUUUCACAGAUCCGUCAGUCUUUGCCACCGCGGCUGUCAGUCGGUUUUCUGUUUCUUAUUCCCUGAUAUUUCACUCGUGUUGAAUAGCACCGCAACCGUGCAAUCGAUCCGCAGAGAAAAACACGGGAAAGAUUACGUAGACGCGACAGGGAGACAGCUCGUAAGUCAAGUGUCAAGUCUAAUCAAGAGAGCUUUAUCGUCAUACCAUCUGUAUACAGCGUGGCUGAGACGUCGUCUGGCAUCCUGGCCGGGGCAUCCCUCGCUCCCUGUGCAUUCUGGGAUUGGCUCCAGGCUCGUCACAACUGUCACCGCGACGGGGAAGAGUCACAGUAAAUCAAGCUGUAUUAGGCAGGUGCUAAGUGCGGUGCCUGGUGCCGGAUUGAACGGCACACCCAAAGCUGCGUGUGCCCACCUAACAAGGUCUUCUGCCUGACACUCUUUUUCUCUUAAGUCUCCGAGAACGGAGUACUGGCAGGUCUCACGCGUGAGGUACUUAGUUGGGGUGAAUAAGAAGAAUUGAAGCACUGAGUUACAAUGGGUAUGGACGAUUAGUAACCAGGAUCCAGGUGAACUAGCCAUCUAACAAACACAUAUCACCGAGCCGGAGGACGGACUCGGAAUUGGACACAAACUCACCAUCGGGAUCGGAGUCCCAGAGGGGCGAAAUCUAUAACGAGUAAACACCGAACCAUAAACCUGAGGAACGAGGAAUUAACCAGACAGAUCUUAAUCACCGUGAGUGCAGGUGAUGGUGGUCACACACUGUUUACUUAAUGUUUACUUAAUAUGAUGCACAAUACAGUACACCACGGUAUAUCAUAAGCACUUUCUCUAUCUCUUUUAUGUCUUUUGUAUUCAUAUAUUUCAUAUUUUCGAUAGUUUACAUUCUUGUCUGUUUAUUUACCUACCUCAGUUGAGUUUUUUCUUUACUUUAUUAUUAUUUCAUUGUAUAUUUCCCCUUUAUUAUUCACGUAUACCUCAAAGCAUUGCUGGGGAAUCACACGCAUUGAGUUUCUUUGUAACUUACAAUAACAAUAAAGACAUUCUCUUU